AGCCUCUAUAGCUCAACGGUAGAGCAUAAUACUGUUAAUAUUAUGAUAAAUGUUCGAUUCAUUUUAGGGGCUA
rnacentral:tRNA from 1 species